GUAGGUGAACCUGCGGAAGGAUCAUUAACACGUGAUACUUCACGUAUUAACCAAACCGUGAACAUGUUUGUUAUGUCUCAUUGCUAGCUUGAGUGCGAUCUGCGAGAGAAUGGUGCGAGAUUCGUCUCUAACUCGUGGGUCUACAGUCUUCGAGACUGAGCUUGACUGGCAAUGCUAUUCAUAAUUCUGGCUGUAGGGCUGCGCCUUGGCUUACAGUCGGAGUGACAUACCUUAUUUACCUUUCUUAUUACAUCUGAUUACUGUACAUUCUUGCGAAUUCCUAGCGAAAGCUGGUUGAGUUCUCUUGAUUGUCGACAAUAUUAACUAAAAACAACUCUUAGCAACGGAUAUCUUGGUUCUC
rnacentral:misc_RNA from 1 species